GAGCCUGCAGUGGACAAAAGAUUUGAGAUUUCCAACAGCCUUAGUUUCACUAGCCUGUUUUGAAAUACAAGGUCUAAAGCUACAGAGUGGAUUUCCCAGCUUGAUGAGAAGUAAAGGAAAAACAGCUAUAGAAUAUGGAGAUUUUCUACCAUUUUAUCCUACCAACAACCUUGCGAGAUGAUAUCUUUGUAUGAAGAAAGUGCAAUCUGGAAGAAGCAAAGGCAUAUGCUGAGUUUGGGAACA